rnacentral:rRNA from 1 species
UACGUAGGGUCCGAGCGUUGUCCGGAGUUACUGGGCGUAAAGGGCGCGCAGGCGGCGGUGCUGGCCCGGCGUGAAAGCCCCCGGCUCGACCGGGGAGGGUCGUCGGGGACCGCACCGCUUGAGGGCGGUAGGGGCCGGUGGAAUGCCUGGUGUAGUGGUGAAAUGCGUAGAGAUCAGGCAGAACACCUGGGGCGAAGGCGGCCGGCUGGGCCGUCCCUGACGCUGAGGCGCGAAGGCGUGGGGAGCGAACGGG